CAGGUUUUCCUUUCACGGGUAUACAAAUUACAUACACAAUCGUUAUUUCAAACAAUCCAAAGAGAAAAUGAAAUUCGUCUAAAACAAAAAUAUAUUAGUCUAUUACAAUAUACUACAGCCCAAAUUAACCUACAAUUACAACACAUAAUAUACUACUCUUUGCUGAUAUGCUUCACAACUUCGGACUUGGAUUCGCACUUCACCUGUUCAAAAAAUAAGAAUGAACAUAUAAGAAUAAGAAUGUGUACACAACAUCAAACAAUGGUCAAUGAGGGAUCCAGUAACUUAGAAGCAAGAAUUGACAGCAAAGAAAUGUACAUAAAUAGUAUGACUAACACUAACCAGUAUGUGUUUAUGGAGUGACUAAAAUGUUCUCACACUAGCUAGGAUUUUUCUUGCUGUAUAGUAUACUGACAUGUGCAACUCUAAUUAAAUUGAUCAUGGAAAUGAAAAGAAUUGUAAGAACGAGUUCAUUUAGAAUCCAGGCAUGUCAAAUUUUAAUCACGAGCAGAACAGAUCUAACAAACCAGACCAUUAUCAUCAUGCAUCAGGAUUUAUGGUUCUAGCAAAACAAUAAAGAGACGGAGAUACACGCAUCAAGCAUAUGAGCAACUAUAAUAAGAGGUCCAGAUGCAUGCAUGAGCACUUCUUAAUAUUUAUAUUCAUCAUCACAGCAACCUAUAACCACAUACGCUCAUUAUCUUAUAAAGCAACAUAUUAUUUUAUUAUCUUAUAAAGCAAUCAAAAACCACCUAUGCUCAUUAUCUUAUAAAGCAGCAUAUUGUUUUAAUAUUAAUUCAACAUACAAGGCAUGUAAUCAAGUGGAUUAUAUUAUCUUAUAAAGCACCAUAUUAUUUUAUUAGUACAUGGCAGGGUGUAUACCAAAUGAUCACUACGGUGAUACAAGAUCACACAUGGUUAAUUCAAAGAUGGAGGAAGCAAAAUGAACGGGAAAAUGACCCCCUUGGCUCUCCACAAGGUUCAGGUCCACAUCAACUUGAG
rnacentral:lncRNA from 1 species